AGAAUUUGUCUUUUGACUGCUUUGUGUCAGGCAUUCAAUAUUAACUUCUUGACAAUAAAAACACAACAAAUUGGGCAAUCUUCACUUCUUUCCUUCAUCAAAAACUGAAAGGCAGUACCAGCUCCACCUGGCUAUCAGCUAUGUGGGAGGUCUACAAGCACCAUACUUUGUAGAUGAAAUGCAGCUGAGGAGGGUCUGCAGACUGGUGAAGAAGUAAGUGUUGCUGCUGUGUAGAGAGAGCACCUUCUACAUCUGUGAGGAAGCACUGGAGAAAGACCAGAAAAUGUUAAAGUACGGGGUUGGGCCUUACCUGCUGCUCAGAGACAGGUAG
rnacentral:lncRNA from 1 species